CCUACGGGAGGCAGCAGUGGGGGAUAUUGCACAAUGGGGGGAACCCUGAUGCAGCGACGCCGCGUGGGUGAAGAAGCGCCUCGGCGCGUAAAGCCCUGUCAGCAGGGAAGAAAAUGACGGUACCUGAAGAAGAAGCCCCGGCUAACUACGUGCCAGCAGCCGCGGUAAUACGUAGGGGGCAAGCGUUAUCCGGAUUUACUGGGUGUAAAGGGGGCGCAGGCGGCGAUGCAAGCCAGGAGUGAAAGCCCGGGGCCCAACCCCGGGACUGCUCUUGGAACUGCGUGGCUAGAGUGCAGGAGGGGAAGGCGGAAUUACUGGUGUAGCGGUGAAAUGCGUAGAUAUCAGGAGGAACACCGGUGGCGAAGGCGGCCUGCUGGACUGCAACUGACGUUGAGGCCCGAAAGCGUGGGGAGCAAACAGGAUUAGAUACCCCUGUAGUC
rnacentral:rRNA from 1 species